CUUGUACUCCCUCUGUCCAAAAAUACUUGUCAUUGAAAUGGAUGUAUCUAGAUGUAUUUUAGUUCUAGACACAUCCAUUUUGAUGACAAGUAAUUCCGUACGGAAGGAGUACUUG
rnacentral:pre_miRNA from 1 species